GAAGGUUUCUAUCAACGAAAGGUCUCUGUUGUCAAUAUUUCAAUGGUGUCAAUUUUGAACGAUUAUUAUUUAAUCACCCUACAGCAUCGACUUUAGAAUAUAUGGUGACCGAUGUUUAGUCCUUUGCUCAUUCGAAAAACUUUGAACCAUUAAUUUGUAAUUAAUCUUAUAGAAUCUUUUGCAUAUAUGACGCUGCGCACUUUUCUGGCAUAUUUGAUUCAGUUAAUUUUGGAUUUCUCACAGCAAAC
rnacentral:lncRNA from 1 species